GCUUCUUGGCCUUUUGGUUAAGAUUAAGUGUA
rnacentral:snRNA from 1 species